UACGGAGGGUGCAAGCGUUAUCCGGAUUCACUGGGUUUAAAGGGUGCGUAGGUGGGUCUGUAAGUCCGUGGUGAAAUCUCCAAGCUUAACUUGGAAACUGCCAUGGAUACUAUAGGUCUUGAAUACCGUGGAGGUGAGCGGAAUAUGUCAUGUAGCGGUGAAAUGCUUAGAUAUGACAUAGAACACCUAUUGCGAAGGCAGCUCACUACACGAAUAUUGACACUGAGGCACGAAAAGCGUGGGGAUCAAACAGG
rnacentral:rRNA from 1 species